AUUGAACGCUGGCGGCAGGCCUAACACAUGCAAGUCGAAUGGUAACAGGAAACAGCUUGCUGCUUCGCUGACGAGUGGCGGACGGGUGAGUAAUGUCUGGGAAACUGCCUGAUGGAGGGGGAUAACUACUGGAAACGGUAGCUAAUACCGCAUAACGUCGCAAGACCAAAGAGGGGGACCUUCGGGCCUCUUGCCAUCAGAUGUGCCCAGAUGGGAUUAGCUAGUAGGUGGGGUAACGUCUCACCUAGGCGACGAUCCCUAGCUGGUCUGAGAGGAUGACCAGCCACACUGGAACUGAGACACGGUCCAGACUCCUACGGGAGGCAGCAGUGGGGAAUAUUGCACAAUGGGCGCAAGCCUGAUGCAGCCAUGCCGCGUGUAUGAAGAAGGCCUUCGGGUUGUAAAGUACUUUCAGCGGGGAGGAAGGGAGUAAAGUUAAUACCUUUGCUCAUUGACGUUACCCGCAGAAGAAGCACCGGCUAACUCCGUG
rnacentral:rRNA from 1 species